GAGAAGGGAAGCUGGUGAGGCGGAAACAGGGAGGAGUAGGUUUUUCUUUCUUCUCACACCGGCAAACCAGAGGAAGCUUAACCUAUCGGAACCAAUUACUAGCAUGAACCUAGCACUGAGCUCAAAGGCUGAAUUUUAGACCUUUCACUGCUCCCAUGCACACCCUGCCUGGUCACGGCUUCUCACCGUCUUUACCAAGAUCAGUCACACCUGUGAAGCCCUGCUCAUUCAUCUCGCCAAUUCCCUUCUACAGGACCCAGUGCCCAGACGCCACUACCCAAUUCCCCCAGCCUUGGAAUCUCCUCCUCUCUGCCAGGUCCUCACCACUGUGUUCUUGGCGAUUUCACUAAAGAUUCACCUCCUCAAAACUGGCCCCAAUUAGUCCCACCCUGUUCAACCUACUAUCUCCACUUAACGGCAAAUGGCACCUGACACCCUCAGAAGUCAGACUCCUGGCAACUACAAUUACCCAAAAUACGGCAGAAAACUGUC
rnacentral:lncRNA from 1 species